CAGCGCUGGGGAUUCAGAGAGGAUCAGUGAGGGAGGCUACAGAUUCUGUUUCCACAGAUACAGCCCGCUGGCCCUUUGCCAUGGAUACCUGUGCACUGCCCACCCCCUUCCUCCAUGCCUGCAGUGGUGGCUGGGCCCCGGGACCUACAUGCAUGGGGGAAGGGUGCUAGUAGGGCUUAAGGGAAGGAGCUCCAAGGCUUGCUGAGUGAGAGGCUCAAAUAUCCAGUAGCUCCACUUAGGACUGAACACAGGGGCAUGGAGAUAUAGAAAGCUAGUUGGAGUGAUGGCUGAGUGAAGCAGUGGAGUUGCCAGGAGCCUGAGGGCACACCGGGGGCAACCGGAAGGGGAGGAGUAGGAAGCUCACUAGGGGCAACAAUCCUGAAAGUAUCCUCCCAUUAGAAAGGGGCUUCAUUGUCCAAACGAGCAUCCUGUGGUCAGCGGCAGCUGCAGAGUUCUCGUGGAGAAGGAGCUUAGAGCAAGCACUCUUUGGGUACGUAAACAAUAGGACAUUUCGUGCCCCCACUGCUCCUGGAAAAAGCAGCAGGCUUUGCUCCGUGAUGCAAGGAGGAAACAGCAGGGAGACUGCUUCUGAGUCGGUAGAAGGAAGAACUUUCUAGCACAGAUGCAGAUGGACUGGGCUUCCUUGAAAGAGAUGUGGGGUCUCCCUGUGUCGCC
rnacentral:lncRNA from 10 species